GAGUUUGAUCUUAGCUCAGAGUGAACGCUGGCGGCAGGCCUAACACAUGCAAGUCGAACGGCAGCACAGCAGUAGCAAUACUGUGGGUGGCGAGUGGCGGACGGGUGAGGAAUACAUCGGAAUCUACCUUGUCGUGGGGGAUAACGUAGGGAAACUUACGCUAAUACCGCAUACGAACUACGGUUGAAAGCGGCGGACUGCAAGGCGUCGCGCGAUUGGAUGAGCCGAUGUCCGAUUAGCUAGUUGGCGGGGUAAAGGCCCACCAAGGCGACGAUCGGUAGCUGGUCUGAGAGGAUGAUCAGCCACACUGGAACUGAGACACGGUCCAGACUCCUACGGGAGGCAGCAGUGGGGAAUAUUGGACAAUGGGGGCAACCCUGAUCCAGCCAUGCCGCGUGAGUGAUGAAGGCC
rnacentral:rRNA from 1 species